AUGCAACCUGUGUCCCUCGAAGCAGGUUUUCAUCUGGGAGACACCAGCACAGCGUGGACACCAGGGCCACGUGGAGCCCCCCGCGAACACGCAGCCCACGGCAGGCCCAGCAUCAACCUCGCAGCAGGGCCCUAUCUUUUCCUUCGCAUGGAGCUCCCCGAACUUCCAGGCAUCACUCAGGAGCGAGGCUGCAGAGCGCAUCUGACGGACCUCAGGGAGAAGCUGGUGCCAAAGAGACGGGGAGAGCUGUCAGCCCCGCCAGACUCCUGGACCACAUGCAGCACCUGCGGCACCGUCCUCCCGAGGCGGCUGACGGGCACAGUGAGCGUGGGCCUGGGGGGCCUCCACGGCUCUGCUCCCUGGCUCGCGACCCCAGCUGCAGAGAGACCACCCAGGAAUCCAGGGCUGCGGACCCAGAGCGCCUGCGUCACCCUGCGGUCCCACCUCUACACACGGGGAAACCGGGACCCAAAGCGCCAGGCCCCCAGGCACGUGGUGAGGAGCGCACGCUUCUCUGCAGGGGCGGGCAGGGGGCUGCCUUGCCCACCGCGGGCCGCUGAGGCCCCAUGCAUGGAUGCACACAGCGCCUCGCCGGGCGACGGCCACGGACACUGCGCACGUUCCUUUUCUGGAAAAGAAUCCGGGUGCCGCGAGUUGUGCUCACUCUGUGUCGCUGGAUUCCUGUUUCCUGGCAGCACGCUGACCCCACAGGGUCCAGAGAAGGAGCUGCACCUUCCCUGGGCUCCUCCGGCCUCCCGUCUCCAGGCACGUCCACAUCCAUCCCAGGUCUCCGCCGGCAGGUGGGCUCAGGGCCUCCCUCGCACACACGCAUGUGUGUGUUCCUGCCGCGCCCCCCGUCCUGACGUCGGGCUCCACAGGCGUCCACACAGAACCACGUUGGUGACAGCUCUCCUGGUCGCCUCGUGUCCCAAGCGUGGAAACAAGAACUGUGGUCAACAGGUAACGAACCUUCAAGGACCAUCCGGGCUCGUUAUCCACGGGCUCUGA
rnacentral:lncRNA from 1 species